CAAAAAGUAGCUUAGUCAUAAAGCAUUCGCCCUACAAUUGAAAAACGUUGAACGUACCAACCUUUUUGA
rnacentral:tRNA from 1 species